rnacentral:rRNA from 1 species
UGGGGAAUAUUGGACAAUGGGCGAAAGCCUGAUCCAGCAAUGCCGCGUGUGUGAAGAAGGCCUGCGGGUUGUAAAGCACUUUCAGUAGAGAAGAAAAGCUUAGGGUUAAUAACCCUGAGUCUUGACGUAACCUACAGAAGAAGCACCGGCUAACUCCGUGCCAGCAGCCGCGGUAAUACGGAGGGUGCGAGCGUUAAUCGGAAUUACUGGGCGUAAAGCGCACGUAGGCGGUCUGGUCAGUCGGAUGUGAAAGCCCCGGGCUUAACCUGGGAAUUGCACUCGAUACUGCCAGACUGGAAUGUUGGAGAGGGAAGUGGAAUUUCCGGUGUAGCGGUGAAAUGCGUAGAUAUCGGAAGGAACACCAGUGGCGAAGGCGGCUUCCUGGCCAAACAUUGACGCUGAGGUGCGAAAGCGUGGGUAGCGAACAGGAUUAGAUACCCCCGUAGUCC